rnacentral:tRNA from 2 species
GUCAGAUUGGCCGAGUGGUUUAAGGCGUGCACAACCAACCGCUUCACGGCUCUCUUGCUAUGCGACACCUGCUAUCAGGUCCGGCACCUCCUAGGAGGGAGAGGGUACUGCAGGCCCUCGUUUGCCUGGGGUGCGCGCGGGUGUAGGGUUAUGGUAACCCCCUACAUCAGUGGCAAAAGAGGCGACGGUGAGUCGCAUGGGCUCUGCCCGCGCGAGUUCGAAUCCCGCAUCUGACG